UGGUGUGGAGUGUGGAGAUGGCGUGCAGAAAUGGCACCUCAAAAGGGGAAGGAAAAGAAGGAAGAACAGGUUGUCAGCCUUGGACCUCAGGUGGCUGAAGGAGAGAACAUGUUUGGUGUCUGCCAUAUCUUUGCAUCCUUCAAUGACACUGAUCUUUCUGGCAAAGAAAUCAUCUGCCGUGUGACUGGUGGGAUGAAGGUGAAGGCAGACCGGGAUGAAUCCUCACCAUAUGCUGCUAUGUUGGCUGCCCAGGAUGUGGCCCAGAGGUGCGAGGAGCUGGGUAUCACUGCCCUACACAUCAAACUCUGGGCCACAGGAGGAAAUAGGACCAAGACCCCUGGACCUGGGGCCCAGCUGACUCUUAGAGCCCUUGCCUGUUCGGGUGUAAUAUCAGGCGGAUUGAGGACAUCACCCCCAUCCCCUCUGACAGCACCCACAGGCAGGGGGAUCGCCAUGGUAGUCAUCUGUGA